rnacentral:rRNA from 1 species
CCUACGGGAGGCAGCAGUGAGGAAUAUUGGUCAAUGGUCGGGAGACUGAACCAGCCAAGCCGCGUGAGGGAGGAAGGUACAGCGUAUCGUAAACCUCUUUUGUCAGGGAACAAAGGCGGGGACGUGUCCCCGGCUGAGUGUACCUGACGAAAAAGCAUCGGCUAACUCCGUGCCAGCAGCCGCGGUAAUACGGAGGAUGCGAGGGUUAUCCGGAUUUAUUGGGGUAAAGGGGUGGGCAGGCGGUCUGUUAAGUCAGCGGUCAAAGCCCGGGGCUCAACCCCGGCCCGCAGUUGAAACUGGCAGUCUCGAGUUGGAGAGAAGUAGGCGGAAUGCGCGGUGUAGCGGUGAAAUGCAUAGAUAUCGCGCAGAACUCCGAUUGCGAAGGCAGCAUGCCGGCUCGAAACUGACGCUGAGGCACGAAAGCGUGGGUAUCGAACAGGAUUAGAUACCCGAGUAGUC